AUAAAGACGAUAAUAACGACGAUUUUAUACAAAUGGAAACAGCCAGCUAAAACGAUAAUGGAGAGGCACUUUCCCAUGCCGAAGCACCCAUGCCACUCGAAAAAGGGGCUUCGAUCGUAUAAAAUUUACCGCGCAAAAGCUCCCAGGAUUAAAAGAAAGGAAUACAUCCGAAAUGUACACAAAAUUGAAGGAAAGGAAGAUUUGUAUAAAAAUUGUAAUAAUACGAUGCAGCAAUUUCACGAUACCAUUUAAUUAAAGUGGGUGUAUAUAUUUUUGAGAGCAUCCUCUGUAUAUCAGAAAUAUAUUACGAAAU
rnacentral:misc_RNA from 1 species